rnacentral:rRNA from 1 species
AUUGAACGCUGGCGGCAGGCCUAACACAUGCAAGUCGAGCGAGCGGCGGACGGGUGAGUAAUGUCUGGGAAACUGCCUGAUGGAGGGGGAUAACUACUGGAAACGGUAGCUACUACCGCAUAACAUCAGAUGUGCCCAGAUGGGAUUAGCUAGAAGGUGGGGUAAUGGCUACCCAAGGCGACGAUCCCUAGCUGGGAUGAGAGGAUGACCAGCCACACGGGAACGGAUACACGGUCCAGACUCCUACGGGAGGAAGCAGUGGGGAAUAUUGCACAAUGGGCGCAAGCCUGAUGCAGACAUGCCGCGUGUGUGAAGAAGGCCUUCGGGUUGUAAAGCACUUUCAGCGGGGAGGCGUUACCAGCAGAAGAAGCACCUGCUAACUCCGUGCCAGCAGCCGCGGUAAUAC